rnacentral:rRNA from 1 species
GCUGGCGGCGUGCCUAAUACAUGCAAGUCGAACGGUCUUUCUAUGGAAGCUUGCUUCCACUGAGAAGAUAGUGGCGAACGGGUGAGUAACACGUGGGUAACCUGCCCAUAAGAGGGGGAUAACAUCCGGAAACGGGUGCUAAUACCGCAUAGUUUUCUUGAUCGCAUGAUUGAGAAAGGAAAGACGGCCUUUGUGCUGUCGCUUAUGGAUGGACCCGCGGCGUAUUAGUUAGUUGGUGAGGUAACGGCUCACCAAGACGAUGAUACGUAGCCGACCUGAGAGGGUGAUCGGCCACAUUGGGACUGAGACACGGCCCAAACUCCUACGGGAGGCAGCAGUAGGGAAUCUUCCGCAAUGGACGAAAGUCUGACGGAGCAACGCCGCGUGAGUGAAGAAGGUUUUCGGGAAUCGUAAAACUCUGUUGUCAGAGAAGAACAAGUUGGAGAGUAACUGCUCCAGCCUUGACGGUAUCUGACCAGAAAGCCACGGCUAACUACGUGCCAGCAGCUGC